UGCAAGUCGAGCGAACGGACGAGAAGCUUGCUUCUCUGAUGUUAGCGGCGGACGGGUGAGUAACACGUGGAUAACCUACCUAUAAGACUGGGAUAACUUCGGGAAACCGGAGCUAAUACCGGAUAAUAUUUUGAACCGCAUGGUUCAAAAGUGAAAGACGGUCUUGCUGUCACUUAUAGAUGGAUCCGCGCUGCAUUAGCUAGUUGGUAAGGUAACGGCUUACCAAGGCAACGAUGCAUAGCCGACCUGAGAGGGUGAUCGGCCACACUGGAACUGAGACACGGUCCAGACUCCUACGGGAGGCAGCAGUAGGGAAUCUUCCGCAAUGGGCGAAAGCCUGACGGAGCAACGCCGCGUGAGUGAUGAAGGUCUUCGGAUCGUAAAACUCUGUUAUUAGGGAAGAACCAUAUGUGUAAGUAACUGUGCACAUCUUGACGGUACCUAAUCAGAAAGCCACGGCUAACUACGUGCCAGCAGCCGCGGUAAUACGUAGGUGGCAAGCGUUAUCCGGAAUUAUUGGGCGUAAAGCGCGCGUAGGCGGUUUUUUAAGUCUGAUGUGAAAGCCCACGGCUCAACCGUGGAGGGUCAUUGGAAACUGGAAAACUUGAGUGCAGAAGAGGAAAGUGGAAUUCCAUGUGUAGCGGUGAAAUGCGCAGAGAUAUGGAGGAACACCAGUGGCGAAGGCGACUUUCUGGUCUGUAACUGACGCUGAUGUGCGAAAGCGUGGGGAUCAAACAGGAUUAGAUACCCUGGUAGUCCACGCCGUAAACGAUGAGUGCUAAGUGUUAGGGGGUUUCCGCCCCUUAGUGCUGCAGCUAACGCAUUAAGCACUGGUUAAGUUGGGCACUCUAAGUUGACUGCCGGUUAUGAUUUGGGCUACACACGUGCUAC
rnacentral:rRNA from 1 species